rnacentral:rRNA from 1 species
GACGAACGCUGGCGGCGUGCCUAACACAUGCAAGUCGAACGGAAAGGCCCUGCUUUUGUGGGGUGCUCGAGUGGCGAACGGGUGAGUAAAACGUGAGUAACCUGCACUUGUCUUUGGGAUAACUUCAGGAAACUGGGGCUAAUACCGGAUAGGAGCUCCUGCUGCAUGGGGGGGGUUGGAAAGUUUCGGCGGUGGGGGAUGGACUCGCGGCUUAUCCGCUGGUUGGUGGGGUAGUGGCUUACCACGGCUUUGACGGGUAGCCGGCCUGAGAGGGGGACCGGCCUCAUUGCGCCUGCGGGACGGCCCAGACUCCUACGGUCGGCAGCGGUGGGGAACAUUGCACAAUGGGCCGAAGCCUGAUGCAGCAACGCCGCGUUCGUGAUGACGUCCUUCGGGUUGUAAACCGCUUUCGCCUUUGACGAAGCGUGCGUGACGGUAAUGGGUAAAGAAGCACCGGCUAACUACGUG